CAGUGCAGUACUAGCUUGCCUGUACAAGGCUAUAUGUCGAAGUUCUUAUACCGAUCAGAAUGAGAUUGGUGGUUAUCUUGUAUUACUAAGGUAUAUGAAUUAAAAAUUUAUAUUUUUAAUUUUUAAAAAUUUAAUAUUGUAGCUCUAAUUUGAUAUAUCAGGUAUGAUUUUUUUGAAAUUUGCAUAUUUUGACAUAGGAGAAGAUGUCGACUAUUAGUCUAUUAUGACG
rnacentral:lncRNA from 1 species